rnacentral:lncRNA from 1 species
GGGAGGUGAGGUCCUGGGCGGCCGCUGGCCACCAGGCGGAAGUGCGUACCGGAAGUGCCGGCGGCAGUGUGUAAGACGCUCACGGGCGCGCGGACUAUCGGGCGGCUAGGCUCUCUGAGGAGGCUGCCACAGUGAUCCUUUUGUCUUUGUCUUCAUUUCUGCCUUCGUUCUCCUUCGUUUGGUCCAGAAGCAACCGUGACAAGUGGUGCCCGACCAGGGACCUGAACGAGGAAGGUCUGCCAGAGCAGAGAAAGUGAAACUGAUCAGACGAACUACGAACCCCUGGACGGGAGAGUCUGCCGGCGGAGAAUAUAAGGAGAUGGACAAACCGUGUGGGUGCCCUCCAGGUGUGUGUGACCAUGGAACGGGAGACCGGAGGGAUCCAUGGUAUUCAACCGUGGGCCUGUUACCUCCAGUACGAGCCAUGAGCCAGCGGAAUCUGAAUGCAAAGACAGAACAAGGGCCGACCGGAGUCACAAUGACAUCCAACCCCAUAACAUGGGGACAGAUCAAGAAAACGACACAAGAAGCUGAGAAACUACUGGAGCGCCAGGGUCAGGCAAAAACCCCUGACUCCAUGUUCUUGGCCAUGCUAGCUGUAGUGUCCUGUGCGUCUAUAGGAUCGGGUGAACCACCAACCGGCAAUUGAAAGC